rnacentral:rRNA from 1 species
CGGACGGGUGAGUAAUGCUUGGGAAUCUAGCUUAUGGAGGGGGAUAACUACGGGAAACUGUAGCUAAUACCGCGUAGUAUCGGAAGAUGAAAGUGUGGGACCUUCGGGCCACAUGCCAUAGGAUGAGCCCAAGUGGGAUUAGGUAGUUGGUUAGGUAAAGGCUGACCAAGCCGACGAUCUCUAGCUGGUCUGAGAGGAUGACCAGCCACACUGGAACUGAGACACGGUCCAG